GACACACCUGGCACAGGGACAAGGGACAAGAACAGGGACAGAUCCUGGGACAGGGACAAGGAUGGGGACACAUCUGGCACAGGGACAAUCCCAGGGCACAGCUGGAUCUGGGACACCGUUGGAUCCCGGGUUGGGGACACACCUGGGACAGGAACGGGGACAGGAAUGAGGACACACCUGGGACAGGGACACACCUGGGACAGGAAUGGGGACACACCUGGGACAGGGACAGGGACAGGGACACAGCUGGACACUGGGACAGGGACACUGGACACAACUGGAUCCCAGGACACGGCUGGACAAUGGGACAGGGACAGAUCCCAGGACAGGGACAGGGACACUCCCAGGACAGCACUGGACACGGCUGGAUCCCAGGACACGGCUGGACAAUGGGACAGGGGCAAUUCCAGGACAGCACUGGACAAUGGGACAGGGAUGGGGACAGUGCUGGGACAGCGCUGGACACUGGACACAGAUCCCAGGACACAGCCGGACACUGGGACAGAUCCCAGGACAGCUCUGGACAAUGGACAUGGCCGGAUCCCAGGACAGGGACACUCCCAGGACACAGCUGGACAAUGGGACAGGGACACUCCCAGGGCACAGCUGGACAAUGGGACAGGGACAGUUCCAGGACAGGGACAGAUCCCGGACAGGGACAAUUCCAGGACAGGGACACUCCCAGGACACAGCUGGACAAUGGGACAGGGACAAUUCCAGGGCAGGGACACUCCCAGGACAGCCCUGGACACCGGACACGGUCGGAUCCCGGCUGUGGAUCCGGGCCCGAUUCCCUCCUGGAUGCUCUGGGACCAACGAGGGCGUGACCAGAUCCCCCUGGGCCCCACAAAUGGGUCCCAGAUCCCCCUGGAUGGAUCCCAGACCCCACAGAUGGAUCCUGGACUCCCCAAAUGGGUUCUGAACCCCACAAAUGGAUCCCAGACCCCUCAAAGGGGUCCCAGAUCCCUUCAUGUAUCCCAGACCCCCACAAAUGGAUCCCAAACCACUUCUGGACCCCCCUGGACAAAUCCCAGAUCCUGCAGAUGGAUCCCGGACUCUUCAAAUGGAUUCUGGACUCGCAGGAUGGGUCCCAGACCCCCCUGGACACCCCAAAUGGAUCCU
ensembl:lncRNA